UACGGGGGGGGCAAGCGUUGUUCGGAAUUACUGGGCGUAAAGGGCUCGUAGGCGGCCAACUAAGUCAGACGUGAAAUCCCUCGGCUUAACCGGGGAACUGCGUCUGAUACUGGAUGGCUUGAGGUUGGGAGAGGGAUGCGGAAUUCCAGGUGUAGCGGUGAAAUGCGUAGAGAUCCGGAGGAACACCAGCGGCGAAGGCGGCAUCCUGGACUGGUCCUGACACUCAGGAGCGAAAGCGUGGGGAGCGAUCCGG
rnacentral:rRNA from 1 species